rnacentral:rRNA from 1 species
GACAGAGGGGGCAAGCGUUGCUCGGAAUUACUGGGCGUAAAGGGCGCGUAGGCGGGAUGGCAAGUCGGUCGUGAAAUCCUUCGGCUCAACCGAAGAACGUCGAUCGAUACUGCUGUUCUUGAGGGUUGCAGAGGAGACUGGAAUUCCCGGUGUAGCGGUGAAAUGCGCAGAUAUCGGGGAAGAACACCCGUGGCGAAGGCGGCUCUCUGGGACGGUACUGACGGCGUGAGACGGCGAAAGCGUGGGGAGCGAACAGG